AUACGUGAGGGGUAAGCGUUAUCCGGAAUCACUGGGCGUAAAGGGCGCGUAGGUGGCUGAGUAAGUCAGAGUUGAAAUCCCGUGGCUCAACCGCGGAACUGGCUUUGUUACUGCACAGCUUGAAUUCGGGAGGGGUGAGUGGAACCUGCAGUGGAGCGGUGAAAUGCGUAGAUAUUGCAGGGAACACCCGUGGCGAAAGCGGCUCACUGGCCCGAUAUUGACACUGAGGCGCGAAAGCUAGGGUAGCGAACGGGAUUAGAAACCCGGGUAGUCC
rnacentral:rRNA from 1 species